rnacentral:rRNA from 1 species
AUACGGAGGGUGCAAGCGUUACUCGGAAUCACUGGGCGUAAAGCGCGCGCAGGCGGCUAUUUAAGUUGGAUGUGAAAGCCUAUGGCUCAACCAUAGAACUGCAUCCAAAACUAUUUAGCUAGAGUGUGGGAGAGGAAGAUGGAAUUAGUUGUGUAGGGGUAAAAUCCGUAGAGAUAACUAGGGAUACCAAAAGCGAAGGCAAUCUUCUGGAACACUACUGACGCUGAGGCGCGAAAGCGUGGGGAGCAAACAGGAUUAGAAACCCCAGUAGUCC